rnacentral:rRNA from 1 species
CCUACGGGAGGCAGCAGUGGGGAAUAUUGGACAAUGGGCGAAAGCCUGAUCCAGCAAUGCCGCGUGAGUGAUGAAGGCCUUAGGGUUGUAAAGCUCUUUUACCAGGGAUGAUAAUGACAGUACCUGGAGAAUAAGCUCCGGCUAACUCCGUGCCAGCAGCCGCGGUAAUACGGAGGGAGCUAGCGUUGUUCGGAAUUACUGGGCGUAAAGCGUACGUAGGCGGUUAUUCAAGUCAGAGGUGAAAGCCUGGAGCUCAACUCCAGAACUGCCUUUGAAACUAGAUAGCUAGAAUCUUGGAGAGGUGAGUGGAAUUCCGAGUGUAGAGGUGAAAUUCGUAGAUAUUCGGAAGAACACCAGUGGCGAAGGCGACUCACUGGACAAGUAUUGACGCUGAGGUACGAAAGCGUGGGGAGCAAACAGGAUUAGAUACCCUGGUAGUCCACGCCGUAAACGAUGAUAACUAGCUGUUCGGGCUCUACGAGCUUGAGUGGCGCAGCUAACGCAUUAAGUUAUCCGCCUGGGGAGUACGGUCGCAAGNUUAAAACGUCAAAGGAAUUGACGGCUGAGACGNGCGAGACGACGACGAGGGAGAG